ensembl:misc_RNA Metazoa_SRP Metazoan signal recognition particle RNA
GCUGGGCAAGGUGUCACACACCUGUAAUUCCUGCUACCUGGGAGGCGGAGGCUGGUGAUCUUUUGAGCUUGAGAGUUCUGAGCGGCAGUGGGAUAAGCUGAUCGUGUGUCUGCACUACGUUUGACAUUAAUACGGUGAACUCCCAGGAACAGGGAAUUACCAGGAUGCUAAAAGGGAGACAAACCAGCUCAGGUGGAUAACAGAGCAGGUCAAAGAUCCUGUGCCAAUAAGAGAGGGAUGGGGUCCGUCAGUAGCCCGUGAACUUCCAAUCUGUACAAGAUAGGAAGAUCCACUUUUUU